GCAGAGAGGGAGAUACACAGAUAUGGAAGGGUAAUGUGUGAAAACGAGACAUCAAUGAGGACGAAGUUCAAGGAAGAUGUAGAACAGAUCAAUAUUAGCUAGGGGAAGGUGACCACAAAGCAUACAAAGAUAACAUUUAAUUCGGAAGAUAGUCAGACUGGUCAAAGAACUAGGUGGGGGGAGGGAUGGAGAGAGAGGGAAAGCAAUGGUUGCUUGAAGUUAGAGACAUCAAUAUUCAUACCGCUAGGGUGUAAGCUGCCCAAGCAUUAGCCAGAUGACUCGCGUGUCCUGCUUCAGUCUGAUAACUUCAAGAAUUGUGGGC